GGAGAGAUGGCCGAGUGGUUUAAGGCGUAGCAUUGGAAUUGCUAUGUAGGCUUUUGUUUACCGAGUUCUUCUCUCCUCUCCUUUCAG
rnacentral:tRNA from 1 species